GAAACACAAACACCACUGGCGUCAGAGCUCUGCUGCCGCCGCUCCCGACUUGCCCCUCGCCGAUGCCACCGCUCUCCCUCCUCGCCGACGCCGCAGCCGCAGCUGCCGCCCCCAACCCACGCCCUUUGGUGCUUCGUCCCUCUCUUCUGGCGCACGCGGCGGCAUACCCGCGACCCGCGACCUAACCCUAGAGGCCGGCCACCGCCCGCCAAGAAUGCCGAGCAGCUUAGAGGGAGGUCAGGCGCAGGAACAGGAGAACAAGAUCACCAUGGGCACAUACUCGGAGGGAGACAUCGCCGGUGGCUGCCGGGGCAGCGGGACGGACCGCAUCUGCGGCCUCCCGGACAACCUCCUCCACAGCAUCGUGCUCCGACUCCCGGGCACCGCCGACGCCGCGCGCACCAGCGUCCUCGCCCGUAGCUGGCGUGGCGUCUGGGCCCAACUCCCCGAGCUCAUGUUCCCUCCAUACGCUCUGACUCGCUGGAGCGGCUCGAGAUCACUAGUCAAUUCCAGGGCUGUCUUCAGAUUGCAACCCCGGAGCUUCAAACAUUUUGUACACUCUCUGUCUGACUUUCACAUUGCUGCACCGAAACUCUCAGAGGUCUACUGGAAUUCCAGCAUUUUCUUUGUCUACGACCCAAGCCGCCAUCAUUUUACAGAGUCCGGGCACCAUCUUCAGUGGCUGGUGAUAGCAGUAAACUAAGGGGGGUUGCUGCUGAUGCAGCGUUUUGACAACGUCAAAGAGUUAGAGCAGAACGUCCAUAUAAACAGGGCAUAAAACAGUACAAGGGAUUUUUGGAGGACACAAAUAAACUUGCAAGCUGUGAGGUGUUGGUGGUGAGAUUGGAAACAGAGCAUGGCUGUAAGCCAACCAUGCUACGUCUUCUCAGGAAAUGUGCUGGGUUAAGAAAGAUUGUGGUGGAAUUAGGUUAUCGUAUGGAUGAUUAUGAUUAUCUGUGCAAGUCUGGGUCGUGCUGCCCAUGCAGUUGUCUAGAGAAUCGUAUGACAAACCACAUUGUGUUGGAUUCAAUAGAAGAAGUAGAAAUAAGAGACUAUGGAAGAGCAGCUGACAAAUUAGAACUUGUGAGGCUGUUUGCCACACUUAGUGCUAGGUGCAAGAAAAGGGUGUCCAUCACUGUAUCAGAAAGGUGCGAGGAUAUGCAUGAGAAGAUUCGCAGCAUUUUUCCUCCAAACGACAAAGUUGAAAUUGUUGUACGAUCAACAUAAGCUGGGACUUAGCUAGCUUUGGAGCGUGAGGCGAUCCAUAUUCUAAAAUGUAAACCCUAUGCAAACUAGGUUUGAGCUUAGCUUAACUGGCCCAGACAUACGUUAAGAGUUUGUGCAGCAUUGAUGUGAUCAGUGUCCUCAGUUUGUCUAAAGUCCAAAAUGCUUGAAUCGAAUCACCAAGUAGAAGGCACAUACCAUUUAAAUAACUUAGAAGUUUAACAGUUGAGCCCUCUUAUGUAUCGAGUAUCGACCAAGGGUAAAAGACAACAUGCUGCAAUUUAUCGCAAAAUGCUUGUCAAUUAUGUAUAUCAGGAUGUUUCAAAUCCAUAUGCUGUUCCAAUGGCUGUGGGUAUUUGCCAUAGGCUGGAGAGCCAUUUGGAUAUCACUACAAGUACCAUUAUAAGGAGAAUUGUUGCUAACCGUGAAGCUUAACAGAAAUGGAACGAGAAGGAAGCCAGUGAGAAGAAGUACUUCGGCAGUAAAAAGCUCUGUCAAUUGGGG